AUAAAAAGAAGUUGGUAGCUUAGGCUCUGGAACAUUUUUUUUCUAUAACUACUGUAGACACACAUCAGUCUUUCACUAGUAUAUACCACUAACAUGUUGAUAAGCAAAGGACAGACAAAAGUAUGUUUCAAAGUUAAAAUGUGUAUUAACUUUAAUCUAAAUACUUUAUGUUAUAUAUAUACAUAUAUAUACAUAUAUGUAUGUGUAUAUAUAUAUAUAUAAAU